AAAAUUAUUAUCUAUUUACCUGCUAGCAUUUCGAGAUCUAGGACGUGCAAAUCUUAAAUUUAACUGAGAUGGAUCUGUGACAUAUUUUUCAGUUUGGCGACGUCUUCUUAGUCCUGCAUUUCCAGAGGAAAAAAUGGGCAAGCACUGGGAUUGGUAAAAGAACGAGUAUUAUUAAUAUUUGUUCGUCAUUUGGUUUUCAAGUGAUCUCACACAGUUUUGAAAAUUGUAUGUAUUGAAUAAUAUUGUUGAAGGAAUAAUUGGAAAAAAGUGGAAGCAUAAAACAAAUUAAAUAAAAGAACUGUAAAAGUGAGUGUUUUUUUUUAAUUUUUGGUUUAAGAAAUUAUGUAUGCUCAUGAUUGUAUUUUUGGUAAAAAAAAAAAAAAAUAAAUAACGAAGUAAAAUCCCAAUUUUCAAGUUAAUGUA